rnacentral:misc_RNA from 1 species
AUCAACACCAAUCUCAACUGUGGCAGGGGCAACCCUGUGCUACUGAGUGUGCCUCUCCAAACAAUACAUUGAAUGGACAAGAGGAGCCGAUGAUUGAAACUGGAUCAAUUAGCAUCUCAAAUACGUAUUCUCAAGGGAUACUGGAUACUUUGACCCAAGCACUACGAUCUUCAGGUGUGGAUUUGACUCAGACAAACAUCUCGGUGCAAAUUGAUGUUGGCAAACAAGGAAAUAGGGGAGCAGCUAUUAUGGGUGGUAUCGAGUCCAAAGGAUCAAGAAAAUCUGUAUUUUAACAAUCAGGUGAUGGAACAAACUGGAGUUGGGAGUCGAAUGGAAGACACUGAUCGAGCUCAUAAGAGACUGAGAACAGAAAAGAGCUAGUGUAUCAUUGUGGUUUAAAUUUCAUCUUUCUGAUUUCU